UACGAAGGGGGCUAGCGUUGCUCGGAAUCACUGGGCGUAAAGCGCACGUAGGCGGAUUUUUAAGUCAGGGGUGAAAUCCCGGAGCUCAACUCCGGAACUGCCUUUGAUACUGGCGACCUUGAGGCUGGAAGAGGUUAGUGGAAUUCCCAGUGUAGAGGUGAAAUUCGUAGAUAUUGGGAAGAACACCAGUGGCGAAGGCGGCUAACUGGUCCAGAUCUGACGCUGAGGUGCGAAAGCGUGGGGAGCAAACAGGG
rnacentral:rRNA from 1 species